AGCUCAGACGCGGCCGCAUCCUCGUGGACGGUAGAGGCGGCAGCGAGCUAGAGCCCGAGUCACAGCUCGCCGCCGCGGAGAGGCCAGGCGAGCCCGAGCGCGCGGGGAUCCGGCCCAGGGUCGGCGGGCAGCUCUGCGCGUGGCGGAGGUCAUGGUAUACUGAAAAGGCACUCAAUCAAGAGAAAUCUGGAGGGAGUUGGAAACCAUCAAGUUUUUGAGGACACAAAGGGUGCAGAAAAGAUCGAGGUUGGUAUACUUUUGAUUCAUCAAUCCUGUGAUUGAAGGUGUCCCUGAAAGUAUCUCUGUUGCUGUAAAGCCAGAGGGCAGCAAAGAAAAGGUAAAGUGAGAGGUCUUUAUUUUAGAAAACAAAUCCAUAUGGUUAAAUUGAAGCUUGAUAGAAUCUUAAUGUCACAUUAGUAGCAAGUAAUGCAUGCUGAGAACUUGAGCUACUUGUUUCCAGCCUCUGUCCACCAGGGACAGAGUACAGAGAUGAAGCUUGGUUUGAUAUUUCUGUUCUUAGCUAUGCUUAUUUAAAUUGUUCUCAACAGAAGCAGCUCAUCCACCAAAAUAAUGUUUUAAAUUUAUAUCUUUUAAAACAGAAGAAAAACUCAUUAUCUAUCAGGUCUAAUAAAUGUACUGCUCUUCUAAUACUGAUCUCAGAGAUCAUACUGAUGGCUUUAUAAGCAGUAUAUGCAAGUAAAUAUUCUUGAUGACACUGAUUGGUGGACAUAAAUCCCAAAUGCUUUCUAUGUCCUGCUGAUGUAUUUGAGGCCCCCCAACCUCCUAGUGCUGCGUUUCCCACUCAGAGUGAGAGACCCGCUCCCCUGUUGCCGUUAAGAUGGAAAAUUGGAGGCCUUGGAAUAAGCCUCUGCCUGCAAAAGGCUCUGGCAGUCUCCUCCCACUCUCCAUUCCCAUGGGAACCAAGCCUCAAAGGAACGGGCAGGAGUGGAAGACAUUACAUUUGGUUGAGGCUUGUUGCCUGGUUUUCUUAAAACCAGUAUAACUUUCCUAUUAACCCACUGUGAUUUCAUUUAGACAAUGGCAUCAUUGUAAUUGUGUUAUCUGAGCAUUUUUACUAUUUUUGUGUCAACUUUUUCAGGUUAUGUCAGCAGAGAAUAACAUGUUUUAAUUGAAGUCUGCCUUCUUUUAUGCUGUAAUUUCACACAAAUAAUAUUAUCAAAAGCACUUUUAUUUCUACAUAAGCAACAGAAAUCUCCAUCCUUAGAAAAAACAGCAAGAACCUAUGUGAACAUUAAUUUUGUAGUCCAGGAAAAUUAAGGCUAACGUCACAUAAUUUAUUGAGUCUAUUGUGAGUGGAGUGUGUAGUGAUUUAUAGAUGGAAUACCAUGCAGUCCUCACAAUAACUGUGUGAGAAAAGUAAGGAAGGCAUAGUUAUUCCCUGUGACAAAAGUGCACCUUGCCAGUUGCACACAUUUAGCUAGUGGUGGUGAAAUUAGGAUUUGAGGCUAAUUUUGUUUGAUCUUAAGCCUAUGCCCUUGACCAGCUUGGAUCAUGCAAAGAUGAGCAAAGUAUCUUGUUUACAUCAGGUAUUUAUAAUCAGUGGUUGAAAAUAUACGUUUUUAAGGAACACAUCAUCCCAUGCUCUAUGAACUCUACAAAAGAGAUGAAAAAUUUUUCUGAUUCAUGUAACCAAAAGCGUAAUACUAAAGAACAAAAAAAAAUUAAAAACACUAAAGUAGCCCCAAAGAGAAAAAUCACAAAAAUUCACUGAAAUACUAAAUACAGGAAUAUGGAAAUCAGCACAAUAGAAUAAUACAACAAAGUGGUGUUUAUUCUAGAAAGUGGUUCAAUAUUGAGAAAUUUAUUUUAAGUUCAUAAUCAUAGACAAGAAGGAUAAAACUGCUAGUUUUAAUUUCUUAACAGGUUCCAAGUUACAUUUAAUAAAAUACUACUGUAUGUCAUUUAAGAACACACAUGUAUACAACAUAGUAAUUUAGAAAUAGAGAGAUGUUAUAAAAUUGUGAACAAGCGGAAAAAAACAGAACAUUAGAAUCUUACAUGCCCUAUUUCAUCACUUAAUUUAGCAUCAUUCUACAAAUUCUAGCCAAUGUAAUAGAUUUUUAAAAAUGACUGUCAUUUUAAAACUUAUUAUAUAUGCUGGAAACUGUUCUAAGUACUUAACCAGCAUUAACUCAUUUAAUCUUCAUAGCAAUCCUAGGGAGUAGUAGUCACUAUUAUUCUCAUUUUACAAAUUAAGAAAUUGAGGCCAAGAAAAACUAAGUAACUUUGCUGAAGUUGCAUAACUAAUCAGUGGUAGAGCCUAAUAAGCACUCAAGUGGCUUAACUUGUGUCUUUAAUUUAAAACACUAUGAUAUGCUGCCUUUCAAAAUUUGUAAUUAUUAGAAGUGACAUCUUUUUUCCUUAAAAAAGUAUAUAUGUGUGUGUAUAUAUAUAGAGAUUUUGUGUAUAUAUAUAUAUAUAUAUACACANAUAUUUUACUAAAAAUCCCAAGAAAAUCAACUAAAGAACUGUUAGAAUAAGAGAUUUCAGUUUAGUGGUCAUACGAAAGAUUUAUGUGUAUGAAUAUCAAUCUAUAACAGCUGCAAAUAGAAAACAUGAGAAAAUAAUCCAAUAUAUAAUAAUCAUGAAAUGUCAUAUCCAUGACAAUUCUAAUAAGAUAAAAAAACAUUUAUUGAGAAACGCAGAAUAAGAUUAGCAGUAAUGGAGACUGAUAUUGUAUUAGAGGAUGAGAAAAAUAAACAUUGUAAUGAUUUUAGCUUCUCCAAAUUAAUUUAUAAAAUUAAUGCAAUCCCAUACAGUACCACAAAGAGAUUUUUAGGGAAAGGUUGGAAAUAUGAUUAUUAAAAUUCAUCUGGAAGAAUGAACAGAUUGCAAAAAGCAAAUUUUUGAAAAAGUGAUGAAGAGAUAACUUCUAAUUCCAAGUAUUUAAAAAUAUUGUAAAAUUACUGCUACUAAGACAGUAUGAUAUGUUUUACUGAAAUAGAGACCUCGGAGGAGCUUAAUCAUCUUGAAAAUUCCCCAGAGUUAAGCACAUAAAGGUAAUGUUUGGUAAAGACAUCAUUUCAUGUUGGUGGAGAAAGUAUUGAUUAUUACAAGAACACAAUUGCAAUAAUUAGUUAUUAUUAUGAAAAAUUGUAAAGUUGAAUCUUUUAUUCACACAAAUACAAGUAAAUAUCAAAUUAAUUGAAGAAUAGAAAAUAAUGAGAUACAACUGAAAAAUAGAUGAAUAAUUUAUAAUCUUAUUUAAUAUGACAUCAAAGGCCAAAACCAGAAAUGAAGAUUGAUAGGCUUGACUAUGGACAUAUUAAAAGUGUUUUAUGUACAAACAGAAAGGAGACUCAAGCAGCAUGCCUAGCACUGUGUUUCGACAUUCUUUUCUUGUUUUGGGGAUAGAGAGUGAAUAAAUCAGCAAGUUCUGUUUGAAUAAUAUUCCAAACACACUACUGUUUGAAGGCUUAAUAAAGCAGAGCCCAUCCUGGGAUAGUACUCAUUUGGUAUUGUACUCACUAUAGGCAAAGAGCAAAUUCCAAUGGUGAAAUUCUAGAGAAGAUAAUGACAUGGUAGCUAGGAUUGUUCCACCUCAAAAUGUCAACUAAAUUUGAGUUAUAGCAUCCAAUAGAGGAAGGGAUUUCAUCUAGACAGUUGUAUAAUCCUUACACAUGCCAGGGCAUUUCCAUUUCAGUAGAAGUUAUUCACAUUUUUGUAUAACAUCUGAAUUUUUACAGUGUGUUAAAACAUGUUAUGUCUAAUAAAAAUAAAUUAUUUCCAGUUUCCUGUCUUGAAUUAUGCAGGAGAAUUAUGGAUAGUUGCAGAGGAAGGACAAAAAUAUAAAAUUUGGAGAGAUAUUUCCUGUUUUAUUGUAGAGUACGGUGCAAGAAAGAAAGUUGUAUUCUAUUUUUUUUUUUUUUUUAAUGGCUGCACCCAUGGCAUAUGGAAGUUCCUGGGCCAGGGGUUGAAUCUGAGCCUCAGCUGUGACCUAUGGCACAACUGCGGCGAUACAGGAUCCUUUAACCCAUUGCGCCAGACCAAGGAUGGAACCUGUGCCUCCAUAUCAACCUAAGCCACUGCAGUUGGAUUCUUAAUCCACUACACCGUGGAACUCUGAAAGACUGUAUUCUUUAUUUCCCUCUAAAGCAGCUUUUCUCCUUUAAUGUCGGGGCCCUAGAGCAAGUAGGAAAGCAACAUUUAUCAUUUAUCAAUGAACAACGAAAUAAAGAAAAAUAAAGUUUUAUUUUAAAUAUCCUAGGUAAUAUCAGCCUGCACUAUGACAGUCAAUUCACACUAACACUAACAAAACAGUUAUUUUCUGUCCUGGGCCCUAUUAGAAAAUUGCUAGAUUCCGAGCCUCAAAUAUCUCAUGGGAAAGAGUAACCAGCAGGCACAUUAACUUCUUUGUCUAUCUCUUCAUAUUCUGUCCUUCUCGGUGUCCCUGGCCACUGCUAGGGACACCUCCUGAGGUCGUUCACCCUGCUCCAUGCCUUUCUGCUAGUGGUCCCUCAGCUGACACAGAACACCCCCCCCCCCAUUCCAACCUCUCCCCCAUAUGUAGUGCUCUUUUGUUUCCAGGUUCAAAUUGCCCAGUGCUCUGCAUUCAGCUACCCUUCCUCUCUUUUCUAACCUGACCAUUGUCCUUAGAACAAACCACUCAGGUUUUUUUCUUCAACUCUUUUUGUCCACCACCUCUAAACAGGUUUUUACCUCUCUGACACAAGGGCUGGGGCUGUUAAUAGAUGGCUUUUUCUCAAGAAGCUUACAGGUCUUGGGGAUUGGCUAAUAGCUAUCAUUGGUGUCCUUCCUUAUAAGGUCUUUCAGCUACUCAUGAAGUUAUAUCCUUAACGGAUCCAUCAAAGAGAGGCUUAGCCAUUUUGUGUUAAAUAAGAGUAAAAAUAUCAAACAAAUGCAACUCUAAAGAUCUUAUUAAUCAAUCUUAUUAAUUUUCAUGUUAGCCAAACUGUCAGUUUUGAAGACCGUUAAAAAACUUUGCAAGCAGUGAGUUCUGGAGGGGAAAAUGGACAACAAAACAAAUAAAACAACCAUCAAAUAAGAGAGCAGAACAAACAGGCAUCAUUACAAAGAAAAGAAAGGAAGUCUAUACAAAGAAAGGAGGUUGUCAUUGAGAGUUUAGCACUAAUUAUUAGUGAUCAAAAUAAUUUCCAUUUGGGAGUUCCUGUUGUGGUGCAGUGGAAACGAAUCUGACUAAUAUCCAUGAGGAUACGGGUUUGAUCCCUGGCCUCGAUCGGGGAUCUGGCGUUGCUGUGAGCUGUGGUGUAGGCUGGCAGCUGCAGCUUGAAUUUGACCCCUAGCCUGGGAACUUCCAUAUGCCAUGGGUGUGGCCCAAAAAGACAAAAAAAUAGUGAUAAUUGCCAUUGAAUGCUCAUACUGUUUGCAAGACUCAUUUUCUCAUCUUUCAUUCAGUACAUAUUGAGCACUUGAACCAUUUGCUCUGUGCCAGGUGUGAGCAUGGAAGAUGUAGGGCUGAGGAUACUCUGCAAUCCCCAGGGAUUGGUGAACUGCAAGGCCUAGAGGAAAAUUGACUAGAGAUGGUGAGGAGACCCAAAGAGCACCAUAUCAAGAGUAGCUGAUGUUUAGUACUUUGGAGAGAUUCUGAGGGAUGAUGUGCUCACUUUCUUCAGUUCAGUGAGGAAUAUCAUCUGUACGAUUGAGCAGGCAAAACUCGGUUGAGUGGAUAUGUCAGAGGAAAACAUACUUUUAUUUAAUCAAAAGAUUGGCUACCUCUAGUACCUGAGAUAGUUCCAGAAGCUUGGUACCACGAGGCAGGAAAGUGACACAGGGGAUUCAUAAGUGAAAUGGUGAGAGGCUGAAGAUGGAGGGUUGGUGAUUAACUCAUCUCUGAAGACAAACCUUCCCUGAUCUGUUAUUGAGAGACAGUUGAAUUGGGAAUGGCUCCUCUGAGGACUCUUGGACCUUGACCAAAUUUCUUAUCUCUGAGUCUUAUUUCCUACAUCAGAGGAAUAGGGAUAUAUCUCAUAGGACUGUGGUGAGAAAUGAGUUGAAUAAUGAGUGUAGAUGAACAAAUUUUAAAUGUUCAGCCUAAAAUAGGCAUUCAGUAAACAAUACUGUUAUUAUGGGGACCUAGAAGCUCAUCUUGAGAAACACUUGGACUGCCUUAAACAAUCCAGGAAGUUAAAAUGAUGCCCAUUAAUGUAGAAUGUCCUUCCCACCCCAUCCUGGCAUUUGAAAAAAACAAAAUCUUUCUAAAAUGUGCAGUGAGGAGUUCCCAUCAUGGCACAGUGGUUAACGAAUCCAACUAGGAUUGCAAGUUCAAUCCCUGGCCUUGCUCAGUGGGUUAAGGAUCCGGCGUUGCCAUGAGCUGCAGUGUAGGUCGCAGAUGCGGCUCAGAUCCGGCAUUGCUGUGGCCCUGGCAUAGGCCGGUGGCUACAGCUCCAAUUCGACCCCUAGCCUGGGAACCUCCAUGUGCCAUGGGAAGCAGCCCUAGAAAAAGGCAAAAAGACAUAAAUAAAUAAAUAAAUAAAUAAAUAAAUAAAUAAAAUGUGCAGUGAGCAAUAGUAAACAUACGACGUUAUAAAACACAUUGGGCCAAUGGUUCCAUUUUGUUAGUAUUUUCUUAUUAUUUGUUCUUAGAUGCUGGAAAGAUUCCUUUUUUUAGCUCAGUCUCCAGCUCUUAGAAUUAUGCUAAGGGACCUAUAUUGGCAACCUCCAUAUGUUAUAUCAAAAAUGAUCUUUAGAAGUUCCCAUCAUGGCUCGAUGGAAACUAAUCUAUUAUCCAUGAGGAUGCAGGUUCAGUCCCUGGCCUUACUCAGUGGGUUAAGGAUCUGGCAUUGCUGUGAGCUGUGGUGUAGGUUGCAGACGUGGCUUGGAUCCUGCAUUGCUGUGGCUGUGGUAUAGGCCUGCAGGUGCAGCUCUGAUUCGACCCAUAGCCUGGGAACCUCCAUAUUCCACAAGUGUGGCCCUAAAAAGACAAAAAAAA
rnacentral:lncRNA from 1 species